UCCGGUUUGACACCGGCAGUCCCACUAGAGUCCUCAGCAUUACCUGUUAGUAACUAGUGGCAAGGGUUUCGCUCGUUAGAGGACUUAACCCGACACUUCACAGCACGAGCUGACGACAGCCAUGCAGCACCUGUGCACGUUCCGCUCUUGCGAGUGUUAUUCCUGUUUCCAGGAACUAAUCCGUGCAUGUCAAGCCCAGGAUAAGGUUCUUCGCGUUGCUUCGAAUUGAGCCACAUGCUCCACCGCUUGUGUGAGCCCCCGUCAAUUCCUUUGAGUUUUAAUCUUGCGACCGUACUCCCCAGGCGGUGCACUUAAUGAUUUUUCUGCGACCCGUGGGGCGUCAGAGCCUCACAGAUCUAGUGCACAUUGUUUACGGCGUGGACUAC
rnacentral:misc_RNA from 1 species